rnacentral:rRNA from 1 species
UGAAUCAUCGAAUCUUUGAACGCACCUUGCGCUCCUUGGUAUUCCUUGGAGCAUGCCUGUUUGAGUAUCAUGAAAUCUUCAAAGUAAAUCUUUUGUUAAUUCAAUUGGUUUCUACUUUGGUCUUGGAGGUUUUUGCAGCUUCACAUCUGCUCCUCUUUGUGCAUUAGCUGGAUCUCAGUGUUAUGCUUGGUUCCACUCAGCGUGAUAAGUUAUCUAUCGCUGAGGACACUGUAAAAGGUGGCCAAGGUAAAUGCAGAUGAACCGCUUCUAACAGUCCAUUUAAUUGGACAAUAUUUUUUAUGAUCUGAUCUCAAAUCAGGUAGGACUACCCGCUGAACUUAAGCAUAUCAAUAAGCGGAGGAAAAGAAACUAACAAGGAUUCCCCUAGUAACGGCGAGUGAAGCGGGAAGAGCUCAAAUUUAAAAUCUGGCAGUGUAUUCUGUCCGAGUUGUAGUCUAGAGAAGCAUCAUCCGUGCUGGACCAUGUACAAGUCUCUUGGAACAGAGCGUCAUAGAGGGUGAGAAUCCCGUCCUUGACAUGGACUCCCAGUACUUUGUGUUGUGCUCUCAACGAGUCGAGUUGUUUGGGAAUGCAGCUCAAAAUGGGUGGUAAAUUCCAUCUAAAGCUAAAUAUUGGCGAGAGACCGAUAGCGAACAAGUACCGUGAGGGAAAGAUGAAAAGCACUUUGGAGAGAGAGUUAAACAGUACGUGAAAUUGUUGAAAUGGAAACGCUUGAAGUCAGUCGCGUUCUCUGGGAUUCAGCCUUGCUUUUGCUUGGUGCAUUUCCUAGUCUACGGGCCAGCAUGAAUUUUGACCGGUGGAAAAAGAUUUGGGGAAUGUGGCACCUUCGGGUGUGUUAUAGCCCCUUGUCAUAUACAUCGGUUGGGAUUGAGGUCUUAGUGCACGCUUCGGUUGUGCUUUGAUGCUGGCGUAAUGGCUUUAAACGACCCGUCUUGAAACACGGACCAAGGAGUCUAACAUGUCUGCAAGUGUUUGGGUGCAAAACCCGAGCGCGAAAUGAAAGUGAUAGUUGGGAACCUCUUCAGAGGGGCACCGACGCCCGGACCAGACCUUCUGUGACGGAUCCGAGGUAGAGCAUAUAUGUUGGGACCCGAAAGAUGGUGAACUAUGCCUGCAUAGGGUGAAGCCAGAGGAAACUCUGGUGGAGGCUCGUAGCGAUUCUGACGUGCAAAUCGAUCGUCAAAUGUGGGUAUAGGGGCGAAAGA